rnacentral:rRNA from 1 species
UGAGCAAUCUGCCCUUCCCAUCGGAAUAAGCGUUGGAAACGACGUCUAAUGCCGAAUACGACCUCCUUUCACAUGAUCGGAGGUGGAAAGCUCCGGGCGGAGAAGGAUGAGCUCGCGGCCUAUCAGCUAGUUGGUGUGGGUAACGGCCCACCAAGGCGACGACGGGUAGCCGGCCUGAGAGGGUGACCGGCCACGCUGGGACUGAGACACGGCCCAGACCUCCGUACGGGAGCAGCAGG